rnacentral:rRNA from 1 species
GACAGAGGUGCCGAGCGUUAGGCGGAAUCACUGGGCUUAAAGCGUGUGUAGGCGGACCGUUAAGUACCUUGUGAAAUCCCACGGCUCAACCGUGGAACGGCUGGGUAUACUGGCGGUCUUGGGCAACCCAGGGGCUGUCGGAACAAGCGGUGGAGCGGUGAAAUGCGUAGAUAUCGCUUGGAACGCCGGCGGUGAAAACGGACAGCUGGGGGUUUGCCGACGCUGAGACACGAAAGCCAGGGGAGCGAACGGG